UACGUAGGGUGCGAGCGUUAAUCGGAAUUACUGGGCGUAAAGCGUGCGCAGGCGGUGAUGUAAGACCGAUGUGAAAUCCCCGGGCUCAACCUGGGAACUGCAUUUGUGACUGCAUAGCUGGAGUGCGGCAGAGGGGGAUGGAAUUCCGCGUGUAGCAGUGAAAUGCGUAGAUAUGCGGAGGAACACCGAUGGCGAAGGCAAUCCCCUGGGCCUGCACUGACGCUCAUGCACGAAAGCGUGGGGAGCAAACAGG
rnacentral:rRNA from 1 species